GACGAACGCUGGCGGCGCGCUUAACACAUGCAAGUCGAACGGAAAGGCCCUGCUUUUGUGGGGUUCUCGAGUGGCGAACGGGUGCGUAACACGUGAGUAACCUGCCCUUGACUUUGGGAUAACUUCAGGAAACUGGGGCUAAUACCGUAUAGGAGCCCCUGCUGCAUGGUGGGGGUUGGAAAGUUUCGGCGGUCGGGGAUGGACUCGCGGCUGAUCAGCUUGUUGGUGGGGUAGUGGCUUACCAAGGCUUUGACGGGUAGCCGGCCUGAGAGGGUGACCGGCCACAUUGGGACUGAGAUACGGCCCAGACUCCUACGGGAGGCAGCAGUGGGGAAUAUUGCACAAUGGGCGGAAGCCUGAUGCAGCAACGCCGCGUGCGGGAUGACGGCCUUCGGGUUGUAAACCGCUUUCGCCUGUGACGAAGCGUGAGUGACGGUAAUGGGUAAAGAAGCACCGGCUAACUACGUG
rnacentral:rRNA from 1 species